rnacentral:rRNA from 1 species
UACGAAGGGGGCUAGCGUUGCUCGGAAUCACUGGGCGUAAAGGGUGCGUAGGCGGGUCUUUAAGUCAGGGGUGAAAUCCCAGAGCUCAACUCUGGAACUGCCUUUGAUACUGGCGACCUAGAGUUCGGAAGAGGUUAGUGGAGUUCCCAGUGUAGAGGUGAAAUUCGUAGAUAUUGGGAAGAACACCAGUGGCGAAGGCGGCUAACUGGUCCGAUACUGACGCUGAGGUGCGAAAGCGUGGGGAGCAAACAGG